rnacentral:lncRNA from 1 species
UCUCUCCCUUAUGCAAACUCUAUCACUGCUGGCCUGUUCACAGUAUUCAUCGUGUUCUAUUACUUAUCACGAAGAUGGAGAGCUGCCAAUCACAAGGGAAAAUUAUCCCCACCAGAAGCCAAGGGUGGAUGGCCUAUAUUUGGUCACCUUCAUUUGUUCGGAGGCUCCACACCUCCUCACAUAACUUUGGGAGCCAUGGCGGACAAGUACGGACCCAUUUUCACUAUCCGCCUUGGCGUCCAUCCGUCGUUGGUAAUAAGCAGCAGUGAGAUCGCAAAAGAAUGCUACACAACCAAAGACUUGAGCGUACUCUCUCGCCCAAAGAUGGUGGUUGUAGAUCACGUUAGCUACAACUAUGCAAUGUUUGGGUUCGGACCACCUGGACCCUAUUGGCGAGAAAUUCGCAAGAUCGUUACCUUGGAGUUGCUCUCAGUCCGGAAGGUUGAGCUGCUCAAGCACAUUCGAGUGUCGGAAGUGACUACUUUCUUAAAGAAUUGCACGAACUUUGGAGUACAAAGAAAAAGGAGGGCUCGAAAGAUGGAGUGGUUGUAGAGCUAAAGCAAUGGCUUGGGGACAUGACGCUGAACGUUAUUCUUACAAUGGUGGCCGGAAAGCGGUAUUCGGUGGCUGCCGCUGGGGAUGAGAAGAAAGAAGCGCGUAGGGUUCAGACUGCAUUGAGGGAGUUAUUUGAUUAUCUGGGCAUGUUUUUGGUGGGUGAUGCGGUUCCUUAUCUGCGGUGGUUGGAUUGGGGUGGACAUGAGAAGGCAAUGAAGAAAAGUGCAACGGAAAUGCACGCCAUUAUUGCAGAGUGGGUUGAAGAGCAUAAGCAGAGGAGAGCAAAAGGUGAUGCAAAAGGAGAACAGGACUUCAUAGAUGCGUUGCUUUCUGUGCUUGAUGGUGCAGACCUUGGCAGUUUUGAUGCUGAUACGAUCACCAAAGCCACAAGCUUGGUACGUAUAUACAAUUCAUUAGUUUUGUAGGCAAAUAAUUAACCAUAGAAGGCUGGAGUUAGACACUAAACACAUCAAGAUUUUAUUUUUACCUUUCAAUACUUAUAAGCUAAUUGCAUGGUCUAUAAAAAGAAAAUGAAAACAUUAGGCAAGAAUUUUUUUUUUGAAAACAUAUGAUUUCCAAUUUUAUAUAUGACUCAUGCGACAUAUUUGUCUGCUCACCAAUGGAUGAUGGUAGAGAGAUUAUCUUCUUAGAUUGUAUAUGUAGACUGUAUAUGUGAUGGUUGAUGGUUAGAUUCUUUCUUUAAAUCUUUAAGAAUGAAAUUCAACUAUCAACCGUUACAUUCUUUGAUUUACAAGAUGUGAUUUAAAAAGAUAAUCUCUUUAAUAUUUUCGUCGCCUAAAGAAUGUAUAGAUGUUAAUCAAGCAAAUACUCCUUGGGCAGAAUGUUAUUGCAGGAGGUGGCGAUACCACCAUGGUGACAUUGACGUGGGCAAUAUCGUUAUUGCUGAACAACCCUCACGUUUUGAAAAAAGCUCUAAACGAACUGGACACCAAAAUAGGCAAAAAAAGAGUUGUGAGUGAGGAAGAUAUAAGCAACUUGGUCUACAUCCAAGCUAUUGUAAAGGAGACGUUACGUUUGUACCCUGUAGGACCACUAUCAGGGCCGCGUAUAUUCACUGAAGAUUGCACCAUUGCUGGCUACCACAUCCGAAAGGGCACCCGGUUGAUCCCAAACUUCUGGAAGAUCCAAACUGACCUGAAAAAUUGGCCUGAGCCAUUCGAGUUCAAGCCAGAGAGAUUUCUUACCACACACAAGGAUGUUGAUCUGAAGGGUCAACAUUUUCAGUUUAUUCCUUUUUCAAGUGGUAGAAGAUCAUGCCCUGGUUUGGCAUUUGGUCUUCAAAUGGUGCAAUUUACAUUGGCUAGUUUUCUGCAUGCAUUUGAAAUCUCAAACCCGUCGAGUGCACCAAUUGAUAUGACAGAGAGUUUUGGAAUGACUAACGUUAAGGCAGCUCCACUCAAUGUUCUCAUCAAACCUCGCUUAUCUUCUGAACUCUAUGGAUAAAAGAAGAAAAUAUAGAAUAUCAAGUGUGCGAUAUGAAUAGGAGAUUUUCGUUGUUAUUAGUUAUAUGUAAUUAUAUGUCUAUAUCUGUAAUCGUAAAAUCAAUAAAUCAACUGCCAAUGUAAGAUAAAAAACCUAGCAAUAAUGAGUGUUUGAGAAUGGGCAUAUUUAGCAAUAAAAAGUACCCCAAAAAUGCCUCUAUUUACAUUUUCAAUUGGGCUCUCUUUUGGAUCUGUUGCCUCCGGAUUUUUUGUUUUUCAAUUUGUUUGUAAAGAACCCACCCAUUCGCCAGCACAAACAGGACAAAAUAAAAUAGUCCAUUUGCGAUUAUUAUCGAAAAGUUAAUUUUGAUUAGGUUUUUCUUAUUAUUGAUUGAAAAGCUGAGAUUUUCAUUACAUUAACUUGGGUCUAAACUGUUCUGAAGUGCAAAAUUUGCAUAGCAAUGAUAUGUUUCCUGCUUAGAUCACUUUGCAUAUCAGUAAUGUGAUAUCAAGAUAUUUCUAACAUUAUUUGUAGGGCAAGAAAGAAAUCCAAAAAAACCGAAUCUGAUCCGAAAAAUUUGAGCCCAACUUGAGAAAAAUCCAACCUGAAAAUCCUGAAUUAUUCGGUAAUCGAAACCGAACAAUUUUAAAAAAUUCGGUAUAAAAAUCGGGACCAAAGCACGGUAUGUUCGAUAAUACAAAACUAAACCGAUAAUAUAUAUACAUGUAUUUGAAAUAUAUGUGGCCGUUAGAUUUGCUUGAAGUUAGAUCUCAACCGUUUAUAAAAAAAAUUAAAACUCUCUCUCAGUCUCUCUCAGAACCUCCCAAACUCUCAAUCCCUCUCCUCGACGACUCCGACCCUCUCUGUUUCUUCUCCGGUGACACCACACCGCAUAUCACACCACACCACACCACAUAGUAAUUUACACCACACUGCCACACACCUGCAAGUUCAUCUUCUCUGGCAACACUGCACCGUCAAAUUCAUCGCCCAAUCCCACCCAAUUCAUGUUUCACCUCUGCGCUUGCACAAAUCUCUCUCCCUCUCGACCCUCCACCACCCAUUCCAAUAUUAGGUAGUCGAUGACCACCUCUCUCUCUUAGUCCGCCCACAUGAUAGGAUGCUGUGUAUUGUGACACAUAAGGUUGGGAGUGCUGACUAGGACAAGAAAGAAUUAGUUGGAAUUGGUUGGCGGUUAAGGGUUGUUAGGGAGUGACUUAGGGAGGAAGCUGCUUAGUUACUAUGUAAAGGAGUAUUGUAAAAGGGAAAGUGGUUGUUGUAAAGAUUGAUAUUGUAAUGAAAUAUACUAGUUACUGUUAUACUGAGUAAGAAGCAGAGUAAGGGUUGUAUCAUUGGUAACAACUCUACGAAAACUCCUUUUCUUUCAGCCGUCGACGCAAAGCUCUGUCAAUUCUCAACCAAUUAUCUAUAUCUAUGUGCAACUCCCUUACAAAUUAUUUUUAGUGUUGUUGGUUUUCUUGGGUUUCCCCAGCCAUGUAGAAGCUCAAGAAAGAGAGUCCUAGCAGACUCAAGCCUUGCUAGCAUUUACUCCCUACAGGUCCAUAUGCUUAUGCUUUUUCCAUGUGUUCAUCCAGAUGCAUUGCUUAUUCCAAGCAGACUUAUAAAGGAAGAGGGGAUGCAAGAACCAAUGGAACAGUAAGCCAACUACUGCGGAUUGGCUCCAGAGAGGAAGUACGUAGCAGUGUAAGAGUAUAUAACUGAAUCAUUUAGAUUGUGCCAUCUGUCAUUAAUACAGUGGCUAGAUUGAAGGAUACGAUUGGGAUAUUCUAGCUAUAACAAGAUCAAGAUAGUAUAUAGCUAUGAUUCUGUAAGAAGAUUGUAAGUAGAAAAAGUAAUAAAGAAAAUAAUAUCUCUUUCUUUCUCUAAAGUCUUCUCUCCUCUCUUUUCUUCUCUCUUAAGCUUUCUUUCUUCUUGUGUUCUAUGUUAAUGGCUUCCAUUUGUUAUGGUUAACAUGGUAUCACUCGCCCCCUAAGCUUCGAUCGUAAGCUUCUUCGAUUCUGGUUUCUUAUGCUUCCGCUCCAUUCUUUUCAUCUUUGUGAAUCACUUCUCUGAUUUCUGGGUUCUAGUUCUUGCCCUUUUCGUUGAUUUUUACUCUGAAAAUCUUUGCCCACCAACUGUUUGGUUUUAUUCCUCUGAGAGAAUUAUCACUAUGGUUACUGCAACUCAACUGCAAAUCUUGCAGUCUCCAAUUACUGGGUUGAUGUCCUCUGUUUCAACUUCAGUUUCGGUUAAAUUGGACGACUCCAACUACCUUCAAUGGCAUUUCCAAAUGAAGCUGAUGCUUGAAGGCUAUGGAAUUAUGGAUUUUGUUGAUGGAACUGUAAGAGUAUGAGUAUGAGACAAACAUUUAGAGCCGGAUUGUAUAAAUCUUUGUUUGGAAAAGUCCUGUUAAUGAGCCUUUUGAUAAAUCCUAUUUGUUAUAGAAUUAUGAGAGAGUAUGGUAUACCAAUUCUAUAUGGGAUAUGACUCAGUAUCAGGAGUCUAAUUAAUUCAUAUUGUGAUAUGGUUUAGCUGUUUGAGUUCCAUAAGAAUUCUAAUAGGAGAAUACUUGGAACACUGCUAUAUAUAUGUUUAGUCACUGCUCUUACAAGUUUUUUUAACUCAUCUUGUUCCGAAUACCUAUUGUUCGGUGAGUACUUGCGUUUUGUUAAAGAGGAGAAGAUUAAACCUAUUCGAAGAGUUGCAAUGGCGUCGUCUUCAAUCUCGGGUUCUGCAGGUCAGUUGCUAUGCAAGUUUCAGUAUUUUCUCAUAAGCAUGUUUGGUCUAGAUAUAUAUCUUGUUAUUAGUUUCUGAUAAUUCAAUUGGUUAACUUGUGAUUGGUGGUAUUAGGACAUACAUAUGUUUAUAUUUGUCUUUCAUGUGGUAUCAGAGCCAAAGAAUUUCGACCAUUGAAUUAAGAAAUCUUGGCUAAAGAACAAAAGCUUAAUCUGCUCAGUUUUUGCGAACCCAUAAAUUUUUUUUUUUUGGAGAUACUUAAACGACAACGUUUGUUUAAUUAAAAAAAAUAAAAUUUUUUUUUUCCUCUUAACACCGGAGUAUUGUUUCCUGGGCUUUCGAAUUCUUCUUCUCUGGGUUAUCCGUUCUGGGUUUUUUCGGAUUUUCUUUCUUUCAGCAGAUUGCGAUGACAAAGGAGUAUUGUUACAUUUCUUUUUCAUCAUUGCCAUCUUGCUUUUGUUCAUUCGUGCAUUCAUAUAUGAAUCUUGGAAGGUAUGAAUGAUUAAUAUCCUUCUCGUCUACGUUCUUACUGAAGAAUUGAAUAUAUUUGAAUAUACAUGGUAUAAUUUCUCAUCUUGUUGUUGGUAAUUCCAUAAGUAGAUAUUGCAGUAUGCUUAAAUUGCUUCCGUUGCUAUAGAAAUUUAUAACUGCAGUUGUUUCACCAACAUUGAAAUUGCUAAAUCCAUGUGAAGAGUGAUAUUUGAAAUUCACUCUCUUGAACAUGAAUAUAUAUUGAAAUUCCCUGUGAGUUGUUUAUUCUAUAUAUGUUCUCUCAUGGGAGAUUAUGAAUAUAUAUAUAUAUAUAUAUUAUAUAUAUAUAUAUGAUUAAAUUGAUUCAUAUUUGGAUUAGGGUGAAGUGAUUGAUGGAAAUCAGGAAUCUUAUUGGAUUCAAACUGUUGAUUUCAUUGUUGUCAUUAUGCAGCUUCACUCAAAACUAUAAAUUUGGCUGCUGUGCCUAUACUCACUGGUGGAAGCAAUUAUAGGAAGUGGAGAAGAGAAAUUGAAUUGCUCCUGACACUAAAUGAGUAUGACAUAGCGCUUAACAUGCCACAACCUGCAGCUCUUAAUGAUAAGAGUACUAAAUCUGAAAAAGUGGAGUUUGAAAGAUGGACAAGAGCAAAUAAGGUUGCACUGUCCAUAUUGGAAAGUGGUAUGACAGACACUGUGCGAGGAGGCAUAAAGAAGUGUGAUCUGGCAAAAGACUAUCUCACUGCUAUUGAGAACAAAUUUAAAGAAUCUCAUAAGGCUGAAAUCGCUCAGUAUAUGACACUUCUAACAACCUACAAGUUUGAGGGAGGAUGCUCAAUUAGAGACCAUAUCAUGAAGAUGACUGAUGCAGCUGAGAAGUUGAAUUCCUUAGACAUGAAUAUAUGUGAAAAGCAACUUGUUUUCAUGAUUUUGCAAGCCUUGCCUUUGAAGUUCAGUCAACUGAAGGUUUCUUAUAACACUCAAGACAAAACCUGGACAGUGGAUGAAUUGAUUGCACAGUGCGUGCAAGAAGAAAAUAGACAGAAGCAUGACAAAGGAAAGGAAGUUGAGAUUGUCAACUUUGUACAAACAUCCAAAGGGAAGAAGGAGUUCAAUGCCAAUUCUAGGAGUGCGAAUGCUGGUAAAACUUCUAAAUUCAAUUACUCUGAUAAAUCUGUUUUAUCUGCUAAAAUAUCCAAUUCCUCUAAAUCUAACAAUUUUAAAAAGAAAGCUAAGAAUAUUGAAAAAAUCAGAUGCCAUCACUGUAAAACAAAAGGUCACUACAGAAAAGAUUGUGAAAUAUUCAAGGAAUGGCUUAGGGCAAAAGGUAGAACUGAUAUUUAUGUCUGUGAAGAGUCAAAUCUCAUUGAAAUUCCUGCAAACUCUUGGUGGUUUGAUACUGGUGCGUCUGUUCACAUAACUAACUUGUUACAAGGUUUUAAACAACAAAAACAAUCAAAUUCUUAUAAUGUCUUUGUUGGUGAAGGAACCAAAGUGUUAGUUGAAGCUGUUGGCAUUGUUCAACUCAAGUUUGAAACUGGUUUUGUGUUACAAUUAGAAAAUGUCCUCUAUGUUCCUUUAAUGAAGAGAAGCUUACUUUCUGCAUCAAAACUAGUCCAGCAAGGCAUCGUUUUCAUUGGGGAUGUAGAAUGCAUAAAAUUUUUCAAAAGAGGGUCAUUGAUUGGAAAAGCCUUUUUGCAUGACAAUUUGUGGAAAUUGCAGUGUUCAAUUGUUAAUAAUAAUCUGCAUGUUUUGAACACCACGAACAAAAGAAUGCAUAUUGACGACACUUACAUGUUAUGGCAUAAAAGGUUAGGACAUAUUUCAAAAGAAAGAGUUUUGCAGCUUUCAAAGUUAAAUCUUAUACCAGUCAUUGAUUUCAAAAAUACAUCUGAUUGUAUUGAUUGCAUGAAGGGUAAAACAACCAAUGUAAGAAAGUUAGAUGCUAAGAGGAGCCAAGCUUUACUUGAACUUAUACACACAUAUGUUUGUGGACCUUUUUCAGUUAAAACAAUUUGUGGGAAUUCAUAUUUUGUGAGCUUUAUUGAUGACUUUUCUCGACACAGUUACAUCUUCCUUAUAAAAGAAAAGUCUGCAGUCCUUGAAUGUUUCAAAAUCUUUAAAACUGAAGUGGAAAAACAGUUGAACUUAGUAAUUAAAAUUGUUAGAUCAGAUAGGGGAGGGGAAUAUUUUGGCAGGUAUACAGAAGCUGGGUAACAGAAGGGUCCUUUUGCUUACUAUCUUGAGCAACAAGGGAUUGUGGCUCAGUACACCACUCCAGGGACACCUCAGCAGAAUGGGGUUGCAGAGAGAAAAAACAGGACAUUGAUGGGCAUGGUCAGAAGUUUAAUUUCAAGAUCCAAGCUACCUGGUUUUCUCUGGGGAGAAGCUUUGAAGACUGCCAAUUACAUCUUAAAUAGGGUACCUACAAAGUCAGUAUCAAAGACACCAUUUGAGUUGUGGACUAGUAGAACACCAACCUUUAAUCACUUUCAUGUGUGGGGGUGUAAAGCAGAAGCAAGGUUCUACAACCCUCAUGAAAGAAAACUUGAUCCAAGAACUAGUUCAUGCUAUUUUAUUGGAUACCCUGAGAAAUCAAAAGGGUUUAAAUUUUUCACAUACCAGGAUAUAAGAGACUCACAAUGCAAUUUUUCUAGAAGACGAAGAUGUGUCAGAUUUGGUCCUAGACAAUUUCGAGUUUGAAGAACUGGAACAAUAGUUUGAUAGCUCAUCUUCCAUGGAUUAUAAUUAUGUCUAUGUGUUACCAAGACGUUCUACAUCAAUCACUGAUUUAGAUAAAGGAAUGCUUGGAACUGACACUGCUGAAGUUGCUACUGAAGAUCAACUUGUGGAUCAACCUAUAAAUAUUUCUCCAACAUUAGUAGACUUAUCAAAUGAUCAAAGCACAGAUCAAUUGGUUAAUCAACAGCCCUUACGGAAAUCUACUAGAUUUAAAAAACCGGCUAUUUCUGCAGAUUUUGUCUAUCUCCAAGAAUCUGAGUUUGAUAUUGGGGAUAUUGAUGAUCCUAUGACUUAUCAACAAGCCAUUCAAAGUUCUCAAGUCAUCAUAUGGCAGAAAGCUAUGGAAGAGGAGUUAGAAUCGAUGACCAAGAAUAAUGUGUGGACACUGGUGAAUUCCUCAUCCAAUAUCAAGCCUAUUGGGUGUAAAUGGGUAUACAAGACAAAACGAGAUGCUGCUGGCAGAGUUGAGAGAUAUAAGGCACGUUUAGUAGCAAAGGGGUUCAAUCAAAGGGAGGGUGUAGACUAUAAUGACACAUUCUGACCAGUUUCUUCCAAAGACUCGAUGCGGGUAAUUAUGGCCUUGACAUCACAUUUUGACCUGGAAUUACACCAGAUGGAUGUAAAAACUGCUUUCUUGAAUGGAGACUUGCAAGAAGAUAUUCACAUGAUUCAACCUCUUGGAUUUAUUGAAAGGGGGAAAGAAAAGAUGGAGUGCAAGCUUAAUAAGUCAAUCUAUGGACUUAAGUAGGCUUCAAGACAAUGGUUUCUUAAGUUUGAUCAAGUAAUCACAUCCCAUGGCUUUACUGAAAAUAAGAUGGAUGACUGCAUCUAUCUUAAGUUUAAGGGAUCGAACUUUAUCUUCCUAAUUCUAUAUGUUGAUGACAUUUUGCUUGCAAGCUCAGAUUUGCAGUUACUUGUGGAAACCAAGAAAAUUCUGAGCACCAAUUUUGAGAUGAAGGAUUUGGGAGAAGCUCAUUAUGUGCUUGGAAUUGAAAUAGUGAGGGAUAGACAGAAAAAAUUGCUUGGCUUGUCUCAGAAGGGUUACAUUGAAAGGGUCCUUAGUAGGUUUAAUAUGGAAAGCUGUAAUAAGGCAGAUGUCCCAGUAAACAAAGGUGAUAAGUUCUCUCGAGAUCAAUGUCCUAAAUCUGAGCAUGAGAUUGAAUCGAUGAAGAUGAGGCCAUAUGCUUCAUUGGUUGGAAGUCUUAUGUAUGCAAACAUAUGUACUAGGCCUGACUUGGCAUUCAUAGUUGGUUUGCUGGGCAGAUUUCAAUCAAAUCCAGGUGAAUCUCAUUGGAUAGCUGCAAAGAAAGUUUUGAGGUAUUUGCAGAGAACGAAAGAAUUCAUGCUGAUGUAUGGUAGAGAGGAUUGUCUAGAGAUCAUUGGCUAUACUGAUUUAGAUCUUGCUAGAGAUUUGGAUGAAAUGAAGUCAACUGGAGGUUAUAUUUUCAUGAUGAAAGGGGGUGCUGUUUCAUGGAAAAGUGCCAAACAGACAAUUGUGUCAACUUCUACAAUGGAAGCUGAGUUCGUAGCAUGUUUUGAGGGAAUGAAACAAGAAGUUUGGCUUAGAAAUUUUGUUGCUGAAAUGAGGAUUGUUGAUUAUGUGAAGAGGCCUUUAAGAAUGUUUUGUGACAAUUCUGCAGCAGUGUUUUUCUCAAAGAAUAACAAAAGAACGUCAGCUUCAAGAUUGAUGGAUGUGAAGUUUCUUAAAGUUAGAGAAAUGGUAAAGAAGGGGGAAAUCGAAAUUCAGUUUUUGUCAACCAACUUGAUGAUUGCAGAUCCCCUGACUAAAGCACUCCCUAAUAAUGUUUUUAAGGGACAUGUUAUUCGAAUGGGGGUGUUAGAGUCUUUUGACAAGUGGGAGUGAAUCAUAAAGGUUGCUGUUUGAUAUUUCAUUGCUCUACAUAGAUGUUGAAGUUGCGGUUCUGCAAGCUGAGUUAGUUUUAUUUUGAUUGAGUUUAAUCUCCUCAGGUAGUUUAUUGUUGGCUAUUUUCAAUAAAGGGUUUUCAGUUUUUCCAUAUGGGAUUAACUUGUACUAGAAAACAAAUUUUAUAUAUGAGAUAGUUUGGUUUGCUAGAAAAUCAUUUUGUGAUUUUGUUGAAGCAUACUUUCAGGACUAUUGAUUAUACUGUUGGUAUUGAUAAAUUUUAGUUAUCAAAUGUGAUCAUGGCUUUAUUGUGUCAAGAUUGGGUUAUAUGAGUGGGAGUAAUGUGUUUUAACAUUACUGCACAUUUUAGUUCACAUGUUUACAAAUUGCAUAUUGGGUAUGUUGUGAUUGCUGGGUUAAUUCUGUAAUGGACAGAAGAAACUCAUCAGUUCCAUGCUUUAAAAUGCUUAGGUAAGGUUGUAUGUGAUAAUGAGCUUUCGGUUAACUUGGACUUGGUGAUCACUUCCAUGAUUUAUAAGGCUGUUAGUCAUAUUUCAUACUUAAGUGGGAGAAUGUAAGAGUAUGAGUAUGAGACAAACAUUUAGAGCCGGAUUGUAUAAAUCUUUGUUUGGAAAAGUCCUGUUAAUGAGCCUUUUGAUAAAUCCUAUUUGUUAUAGAAUUAUGAGAGAGUAUGGUAUACCAAUUCUAUAUGGGAUAUGACUCAGUAUCAGGAGUCUAAUUAAUUCAUAUUGUGAUAUGGUUUAGCUGUUUGAGUUCCAUAAGAAUUCUAAUAGGAGAAUACUUGGAACACUGCUAUAUACAUGUUUAGUCACUGCUCUUACAAGUUUUUUUAACUCAUCUUGUUCCGAAUACCUAUUGUUCGGUGAGUACUUGCGUUUUGUUAAAGAGGAGAAGAUUAAACCUAUUCGAAGAGUUGCAAUGGCGUCGUCUUCAAUCUCGGGUUCUGCAGGUCAGUUGCUAUGCAAGUUUCAAUAUUUUCUCAUAAGCAUGUUUGGUCUAGAUAUAUAUCUUAUUAUUAGUUUCUGAUAAUUCAAUUGGUUAACUUGUGAUUGGUGGUAUUAGGACAUACAUAUGUUUAUAUUUGUCUUUCAGGAACAAAUCUGUGUCCAUCUCAAUUUUCUAUUGAUUCAGAAGUUACUGCUUUUGGGUCUGGUGCAAGAAUUGAAUCAGAUUUGUAUAAGGUUUGGAAGAUGCAUGAUAGGGCUCUCAUACAACUUAUCACUGCUACCUUGUCUCCUAUGGCCAUUACUUGUGCAAUUGGGAGUAGUAGUGCUAGAGAUCUAUGGGUUCGUCUUCAAGAACAGUUUUCUACAGUAAGCAAGACCUCUAUUUUCCAGUUAAAGUCUGAUAUUCAAACAAUCAAGAAAGGGGCUGAUUCUGUCUCCCAAUAUCUUCAACGCAUCAAAGAAACAAGAGACUACCUUGCUGCUGCUGGUGUUACAUUUGUCGGUGAAGAUAUUGUCAUAUUGGCAUUAAAUGGUCUACCUGUAGAAUACAAUACUUUCAGAUGUGUUAUUCGUGGCCGAGAAAAUGUGAUUUCGUUGAAGGAAUUUCGUGCCCAGUUACUUGCGGAAGAAGCUACUAUUGAAAACAAUUCAUGUGUUUCCUUUCCUACUGCAAUGAUGGUAAAGAAUCAAGCUUCUCAUUCUGGUGCUUCAUCAUCUUCAUAUCAAGGAUCUUUCUCCAAUGGGUUUCACAAUUCUAAUGGUUUUCAUGGGAACUCUGGCCAAUCUUCGUUUUAUAAUGGUGGCAACAAGUCAAAAUUUAACGGUAAAGGCAAGGCUACAUAAUCAAGGCCAUAAAUUUGGUUCGAAUCAGGGACAAAAGUUCUAUCAUUCUAAACCUAUAGUUCAUGAUUUUGCUCCUGGUAUACUUGGUAGUCAUUCUCAUGUUAACAAUGGUACUUCCUCUUCAAAUGUCAUAUGUCAAAUAUGUUAUCUACACGACCAUUCUGCUGCUACGUGUGUGUAUAGAAGUGAUGAUUCUUCGGAGAAUUGUCAAAUUUGUGACAGAAGUAAUCACACGGCCAAGACAUGUUUUACAGAAACAAAGAAAGGAAUUCUCCAUCACAAAUGACUGCUAUGAAUACUGUUUUUCCUGGUUCAAUGCAACCUCAGUAUAUGAGUGCUAUGCCUCCCAUGUUGAAUAUGGGUUCUUCUCACAUGCCUCCCAUGUCCACUAUGAACUCAGUGAACAUGGUUCCUUCCAUGAAUGCAUCUUCUUCCUAUGUUAUGCCCACUAUGUCUACUGCAAUGCCUAAUCAAGUCCAUUAUCAAGUCUGGCUAACUGAUUCUGGUACAACCAAUCACAUGACGAAUGAAUUGAGUAAUUUGUCCAUUGCUUCACCAUAUUCUCAAAAUGAUACAGUUCAAACAGCAGCUGGUGAAGGUUUGCAAGUUUCUCAUAUUGGAGAUUCUCUUUUAAGGACUUCUCUACAGCCUAUAAAACUGAAUUCAGUUCUUUAUGUUCCAAAGCUAUCUCAUAAUUUGUUGUCUGUUCAUCGCAUUUGUCUUGACAACAACUGUUGGCUAAUUUUUUAUGCUUACUGUUUUUGGAUUCAGGACAAAGUCACAGGGAGAAUCUUGUUUAAGGGACUCUGUAACAAUGGAUUGUAUCCCAUUCCUUCCUUUACUACCAUACCUCAUAUACCUCAAAAACAAGCAAAUCAAGCUGUUGCCUGUCUUGGACAUACUGUCACCUCAAACUUGUGGCAUUGCAGACUAGGUCAUCCUUCAAAUCCUAUUGUUUCUCUUACACUUAGGAAAUCUAAUGUUGCUGUUAAUAAGGAUGUGUCUUCUAUAGUUUGUCAAAGUUGUCUAGAAGGCAAAUUUAGUAAACUUCCUUUCUAUCCAGCUACUUCCAAAUAUGUAAUACCUUUUGAAGUUGUACAUAGUGACCUAUGGGGGCCUGCACCUUGUGUCUCUGUGGAUGGAUUCAAGUACUAUGUCAUAUUUGUUGACGAAUGUACUAGAUUUUGUUGGAUGUUUACUUUGAUAAAUAAAUCAGAUUUUGUCUCCAUUUUCAUUUCCUUCUAUCAGUAUGUUUUUACUCAAUUUUCAGCCAAAAUUAAGAUCUUGCAAAGUGAUGGGGGGGAGAAUAUAUUAGUAAAUCUAUUCAAUCAUUUCUUGCUCAACACGGCAUUCUUCAUCAUAAAUCUUGUCCUUAUACCCCUGAACAAAACGGGUUGGCUGAGAGAAAGCAUAAACAUAUUGUUCAAACCGCUUUCACUAUGUUACAAAAUGCAAAUUUGCCUUCUACAUUCUGGACUUUUGCUUGUCAAACAGCAGUUUACUUAAUUAACAGAAUGCCAUCUUCCGUUAUUCAUAAUAACUCUCCAUUUGAACAAUUAUAUUCUGUAAUCCCAGAUAUUCAUCAUCUUCGAGUCUUUGGUUGUUCUUGUUUCCCAUUGUUAAAACCUUAUAAUAGCAACAAGUUCCAACCUAAGUCUACUAAGUGUAUAUUUUUGGGAUAUGCCUUGACCUAUAAGGGGUACAUAUGUUAUGAUCCUAGUCAUGCGAAAAUCUAUAUAUCCAGGCAUGUUAUUUUUAACGAAAUAGAUUUUCCAUAUGCCACAAUGGUUUUCAAACCUAAGAUUUCUGUGCCACAACCAUCUCAAACUACUGUUAGCUAUUCUUCUGUGCUUCCUAAUCUUGAAAAUAUCCUGGUUACCCCUUCAACAACCUGUCCAUCAACCCAAUCAUCUAAUACUCACCCUUCUCAGCCUACUAUACAAUCUUCACCUCAACCAAUACCACAAUCCAUAAACCCACCUGCUUCUCAAUCCAUUGUUGCUCAAGAUUCUUCUGUGGUACCUGAAUAUAGCUCAGAGACCUUGCAAGUGGUUCAUGAUAUUCCCCCAAUGAAUCUACACCCUAUGCAAACACGAUCUAAAAGUGGGAUCAUAAAGAAGAAAGUUUUCUUAGCAUCUGUUCACAGUGCAGUUGAGGUUGAUUUAACAACAAUUGAACCAGCCACUUACAAGUCAGCUUUAAAAGUUCCAGUUUGGUAUAGUGCAAUGCAAGAGGAGAUUGAAGCUUUGUAUUCACAGAAUACAUGGAGUUUGGUUGAUCUGCCACCUAAUAAGAAUUUAGUUGGGUGUAAAUGGGUGUUUAAAAUAAAAAGGAAUGCUGAUGGGAGUAUUGCCAGACAUAAGGCUCGAUUGGUAGCAAAGGGGUUUAGCCAGGAACAAGGAUUGGAUUAUGGGGAAACUUUUAGUCAUGUGGUAAAGCCUACUACUGUACGAUUGGUUCUUACUCUUGCUGCACAAUUUAAUUGGCCAUUAAGACAACUUGAUGUUAAAAAUGCAUUUCUUCAUGGCAUUUUAAAUGAAGAGGUGUACAUGUCACAACCUCCCGGGUUUGAAGAUUCCAGAUAUCCUUACUUAGUGUGCAAAUUACACAAGUCUCUUUAUGGUUUAAAACAGGCUCCACGGGCUUGGAAUGAUAGAUUUACUCAGUUUUUACCUCAAUUGGGUUUCAGCAAUACUUAUUCUGACUCUUCACUGUUUGUCAAGUGUGUUGGUGCUGAAAUUGUGAUACUUUUGUUGUAUGUUGAUGAUAUAAUCAUCACUGGAAGUGCAGCUGCAACAAUUCAACAAGUUAUUGCCCAGUUAACUACAAAAUUUGAGCUUAAGGAUCUUGGUCCUUUACACUUUUUCUUGGGUAUUCAGAUCACUAGAACUGCCUCUGGUUUAUUUUUAUCUCAAGAGAAGUACAUUCAGGACUUGUUGAAGAAAACAGAAAUGUUGGAUUCCAAACCUGCAGCCACUCCUUGUUUGCCUUACAAUAGGCUUCUUAAGGAUGAUGGACAACCUUUUAACAAUCCAGCACUAUACAGAAGUAUCGUUGGGGCCUUGCAGUAUCUUGUAUUUACCAGGCCUGACAUUGCCUUUUCGGUUCAUCAAGUUAGUCAGUUUAUGCAGGUUCCAAUGAUCUCUCACUUCACUGUAGUUAAAAGAAUAUUACGAUAUCUUAAAGGUUCUCUAAAUCAUGGCAUUAGUUACAGUAGUGGAGAGUUGAUCCUAAAGGCUUUUAGUGAUGCUGACUGGGCAGGAGACCCUAAUGAUCGAAGGUCAACUACUGGCUUAGUGGUAUUUCUUGGAAAUAAUCCUAUUUCUUGGUCUUCUAAGAAGCAACAGACUGUGUCUAGGUGAUGUGAAAAAUAAGUUAACACACAAAUUAAACCCUCUUUUUGACAAUUGUAGUAUAGAUGUAAGUAGGGUAUCGUUCUAGGCCGGGGAUUAGGAGGGAUUGCUAAUCUAUUCUAAAUUAAUUUAAAAAUAUUAAAUAAGACUCAAGGACACAAAACUAGGCUAAAAACUCUAAUAACUCGAAACACACUUAAAAUGACUCAAAAUAAUGAAAACAAUCAAAUUAAACACUAGGAACUGAAAUGGACGGAAAUUAAAUUAAAAGACUAACAAUAAAGAAAACUAACUAAAUAAUAUAAUUUAAUAAUGGAUGGGUGUUUGGUUUUGAUGAAAAGUAAAUUAAACUUAAUUAAAUUACAGAAUUGACAAAAACAUAAAAUUAAGGUAAAAUGAUAAAUGACGGACUAGCUAGAGGGUUCUUCUCCACACAUGACACAUAAGCAACCUAAAUUGAUUUUCAGUUGUUCUUUCAAUAAAUUGUGAAUUUCAAUACUCCAGAUUAACCGUGAACAGCACUAAUUAACCCUCAGUUUUUCCACAAGUUAUUGGGUUGGAUGAUUGCAUACGACAACCUAAAACAUUCCCUACAAGUUCCCUACAUGAAUUGCAUAAUAGAGAUACAAGCAAGAAUCAUUAAGUUCUAUGAAAAACAUAAGCAUUGACGAGCCACUCGUUACUAUGAUUUGCAUGAAACUUAUGCCAAGAAUUUACUUAACGUGAUUGUGACUAGCAACCUUCACUACUUGUGAAUAUAAGUUCAUAACGAUUAGGUGAAAUUCACUUAUAUUCUAGCAUCAAAUUCAUGCAUGUAAAUUAAGUAUGCAUCCUUAAUCGAAAUACAAAAAUAAGUUAUCUAUCAAGCAGUUAAGCAAAUUAAAUCACAACUCAGAAAUCACAACUGAAGGUAAUCAAUUUAUAUUACAAAUAUAUUCAUGGCUUUGAAUUAACCUCUAGCCAAAAUAAAUUUAAUUACACAUUAUUAAAACAGAAAUAAAAUAAAAGUUUGGAAAGAUUAAACCGAAAGAGGAGAGUGCUUGCUGCUUCUGUCUAUCUUCCUCCCCGUUCCGCGUCUUCUCGCCCCCCAUGCUCAAGCUGCCAAGUGGCAGCUUUCCUCUUCUGUCCGUGUGGCUGUCUGUGUGGACUCCCUCGGUUUCUCUCUCCACGCAGCUCAGCUGCUUCUGUUCCUGUCCUUCUCACGCUGCCCAAAGGCAGCCUUCUCCUUUCACUCACGCUGCCAAGGGCAGCUCUCUCCCGUGCCCCCUGCUGCACGCUGCCAAAGGCAGCUCUCUGCCUUCCACCAAUAUCCCCUUACUACUAGUCACGCCCUCCUUCUUUUAUAUCUUCUCUGCGCUAUCCCUCUCUGUCCCUUUAUUACUUUUUUUUUAAUUUUAUUUUCUUUUCAAGCUGUCAGUCUCUCCACUCCACCUUAUUCUUCUAUUUUUCUUUGCUUUUAUUAUCUGCCAUGCCUCUUUGUACCACUGACUGCAUCAUGAUGUUGAGCAAUUGCUAAAGCAUCUGCCAACGAGUCCCUGUUCUGCCUUCUUGUUUCUGUCGGUCUCCCCUUAUAUUUUUCUUCUUUCCGUCUGUCAGUCCAUGUGCCUUCUUUUCAAGGUAUAAGCUGGAAAGUAUUUUUGGCAACAAGAUUCUUUUGUGCUAUUUUUAUUUUCUUUGCAUAACAAAUCCUAGAAACACAAAAAUAACGUAAAUAUCUCAAAAAUAUAAGGAACUAACUAAGAAAAGACGAGUGAAUUCGAAGUAAAAAUAUAUAUAAAUAUGAUCCGAUCACUAGGUCGUCAACUGAGGCAGAGUACAGGGCGUUGUCAUCCACUGCUGCCGAGUUAGAUUGGGUGCAGCAACUUCUUACUUUUUUGAAAAUCAAACUCGAGUAUACUCCUGUUUUGUUUUGUGAUAAUAUGUCUGCCAUUGCACUAUCCUUUAAUCCUGUGCAACAUCAACGGACAAAACACAUUGAAGUGGAUGUUCAUUUUGUCCGCGAAAGAGUGGCCAACAAGAAACUCCUUGUGCAGUUUGUUUCCUCCUCAGAACAGUUUGCUGAUAUACUCACUAAAGGUCUUAGUUCACCAUUGUUUACUACUCAUUGCUCCAACCUCAUGCUUGGGUCAUCCCAACCUGAGCUUGAGGGGGGAUGUAAGAGUAUAUAACUGAAUCAUUUAGAUUGUGCCAUCUGUCAUUAAUACAGUGGCUAGAUUGAAGGAUACGAUUGGGAUAUUCUAGCUAUAACAAGAUCAAGAUAGUAUAUAGCUAUGAUUCUGUAAGAAGAUUGUAAGUAGAAAAAGUAAUAAAGAAAAUAAUAUCUCUUUCUUUCUCUAAAGUCUUCUCUCGUCUCUUUUCUUCUCUCUUAAGCUUUCUUUCUUCUUGUGUUCUAUGUUAAUGGCUUCCAUCUGAUAUGGUUAACAAGCAGAACACAGAUUAUCCAAGAGGGUUCGAGUCAGAUUGUUGCUUACGGGAGAGGAGGUAAGAGCUCAUAACUAAUGGGAGAUUUCUCCAUGGCAUUGGCUUUUGCACUCGAAAAUGAAGGAAAGCUCGGGAGGACGGAUGCCUAGCACAAGUUCAAUGCUUUAAAUGAAGUUUAUAAAAUUAAUGAUUUAAGUUUUUAUGAUGAAAAUACAUUAUUCAAAAAAGGUGAAAUAUGUUCAUUACCCUGAGUGAAGAAUGCAUGUAUGGAAGGAUUCUACUAUAAAAAUAGGCGUGGGCAUAGAAACCAUAGAACCGUGAAACCGAAUCGAACCACGCCAAAAUGGACCGUAAAAUACCGUGUUAAUAAAAAAAAGUCAACUUAGGUUCAAGAACCGGACCAAACCGUUCAUACUAGUUUCGGUUUUGGUUUUCAUCUUGAAAGAAUCGGGCAAACUGAAUAUCAUCUCCUUUGGAUCCCAAUUUUAAUAUCAUCUCCAUGCUUCAUUAGCCCAUACUGCUCCCAAAAGAAUAUUCGUCGUUAAAAGGAUAAACUCUAGACUAAUAAUACAAUAACUGUAACGAUUCAAUUAUUGAAUCAAUUGAUAUCCUUAAUGAUUUUUAGGCGAAAUUAAAAUCGUGUUUCAAAGUUUUGACCUUGAGUAAGGACAUAUUGGUCACUACAUUUUGGAAAAGGAUUCUCGUCGGAUCCUUUUUUUGGGGAUCUGAGGGAUCCCGUGAUCAUGAUUGUUCAUCGUACAUCGUGUGGUUAUAAAUCAUUUUAGAUUUUAAAUUUUAAAUUAAAUAUAAAUAGUACCUACCGAAAAAUGACCACACGAUAUGAACAAUCAUGAUCACAUAAUUCUCCAACUCUCCAAAAAAAGAAUCCAACGAGGAUCAUUUUCCCUAGUGUUUUCGUUAUUGAUAUGCAUUAAAGAUAACUCGUCCUCCUUCAUAGUAAUGUGGUACGAAACGGUCGACGAGCGGGCGAGGGGUGGCUGUCGAGAUGAUGGGAUGAUUGAUUUUUUGUGAGUUUAUUUGUAUUUCUUUAAUUUUUAUUAUUAUAUAAAGAAAAAGGUAAAUUACAUUUUACAUCCUUAAGUUUAGUGGGAUUACAACCUCGUACAACAUCUUUAAAACAUUUCAAUCUCAUACAUCUACUUAUCAUUUCUUUCAAUUUCAUACGUUCGUUAAAAAAUCUAUUAAGUUAACCAUUAAGUGAUGACGUGAUAAACAUAAAGUCCUUGAAAAGAAGACAAAAGGAAAAGAAAAAAAAAAGAAUAAAGCUUUAGUUAACUAAUAGCCACAUGAUCCCAUUAAAAGAUAGGCUUUUUAGUCAAAAUAGUUUUUGAGAUUUGCAUAACACAUCACUUUGGUCCUUAAGAUUUGAAAUCAAUAGAAGUGAUCUUUGAGACUGUCCACUAUCAAUCAUUUUGGUCAUUCCCUGCAAAAUUAUGCUAAAUAAGGAUCAAAACGACAAAUAUACUUUCAAUUUAAUAAACAAAGGGCAAACAUGAUUUGACAAAAUUAAGGGUAUUUUGGUCAUUCUAUUCUUAUUUAAUGGACAUUUUUCAAGGAAUGACCAAAAUGAUUGAUGAUGGACAAACCAAUUCAAUUGAUAUCAAAUAUCAUGAACCAAGGUGAGGAGUUAUUAAAUCUCAAGAACUAUUUUGGAUAAAAAGCCUAAAAGAUAUCUAUUGGCUGAGCAUGUGAUCCCUAUUUUUUACCUUCACCCGAAGAACCUAAAUAUUAUAGGAUUUAAUUUAAGUUAAGUCCAAUUUUGCAAGUCAAUAUUAAGAAUAGUCCAUUUUUCGUGAUCUUUGACAUAAGUUCAUCCCACGUCAUUUUUAUUAUCUUUUAAAUUAUUAAUCUUUAUUUCAAUUUUGCCCUCAUAUUUUAAAAGGAAAACUAAUGAAAAAGGUUUGAGAACUUUGUGUUUUAACGAUAAAGACAAAAUUCCCUAUUUUAAAUUAUCUCUAUUCCUUUUUUCAAGGAUUUUUAUUUCUCCUUUUAAAUAUCCAUUGCUAGUUUGAAUUUCUUCUUUUUGAAUUCAAAAAAGAUGGGGCAUCCCUCCAUUUGUAACCAGAGUAAGAUUCUCUCUCAUCCUAAUCUCUAUCUACUUCCAUCCCUUUCUAUUUAAACGGUUGCGAUUACGCUACGUCUAUAUCUUGUUUUGAAUUUUUCUUGGCAACUAAAAGUUCGAUCACAUCACAACUCACCUCAUGAGAGACUAUGUGUACAAAAUUGCCAGCAAAACUAGUAAAGGAACACUAUUUACAUACAAGCAACAACAACUUAAAAAAGGAACUGCAAAAGAAACAACUAGUGACGAUUACAAGAAAGACUCUGCAUUCAAAGCUACCAACAAAGUCAUCAAUUGCAUUACGAUAAAUCGUACCAACACCAUCAUGAGACAUGAAAUAAAGACUCAAGCUCAAAAAGACAAAUCUAACAUGGACAAAGCCGCCCUAUAAUCUAGAAAACCCACAUCAUAAAAAUUCAACUUCAUCUCUUGCCAAACCCACAUGGAAAGGCAUCCUCUCUGGAUCCAUUCCACCAAAUCAAUUAAUCAGAGCCCUUGAAAUUUGAUCAAAUAGCUACAAAUAUGGGCCCCUUUAAAAGUUAUAAUAACUUUAGCUGUUGGAUCAAAUUUCAAGGGUCCGAAUUAGGUGAUUGGAUGAAUUUGGUGGAAGGGAUCCGGAGAGGAUCCCUUUUCAACCCACACUACCUAAAACAACCAUAGAUGGGAGAUUUUGAGAGAACGAUUUGAUUGAAAAAGGACAAAAAAAUAAUUGAUUGAGAACUCAAAUAUAAGCAAGCUUAGGCACAGACUUAAUCACCCCAAAAGGGACUAAAAGAAUUAGUAUGUCAUUAAUGUGUGAUAAAAAAAAAUCACUUGGCGGCUUAGGCACAACAAUUUACUUUUUUAAGGACAAAAAAGACUUACAGAGGCACUUCAGCCUCCCCUUAACCAGUAUUGUGUAAAUUACACGCGUCACUAAUCUAAUCCAAAAUGUACGCGAAUAAAAUAUGAGUUUAAAAUUUAUUUUCAAUCAGUGAGUCAUCCCGUAGCGGUUAUAAAAUGACCGUUAUUCAAUGUAUAAAAAUCAUAAGUGCUAGACCAAUUCUAGUGUAGAGGUUUUUUUGUAAGAUUAUUUUCGUGGGGGCAAUGAUAUUAAAAUUAUGCACAGAUCACACAGAAGACAAUCCUAUCUUUACGUACAAGUUACAUCGAACGGAUAAGUAACGGGUCCAAACCAUCGUUGAGAAAAAAUGUGGGACUGCGCGAUUUAACUAUUUGAUCGUUCUUUAGUAAAUUGUGUAUAGACAAGAAAAUAUUAUGGGAUCAGUUUAAAUAACAAGUCUAAAGCCAUGUAGAAAGUUGUCGAAGAAAUAUCACACUUUUCACGAAUCAGCUUGAUGCUCCUUAAUUGAACAUUUGACUAAUGAGUUUAUAAUAUUAAAAAUAGCAAAUUAUAAUAUCAGACAACGUGGCAUAUGCGGGUUCAUAUGUUAUUUAUUUGGAGUAAAGAUUCUUUUUGGAUAUAAAAAAACUAAAUAUUAAAAAUAUUAUGGGAUCAGUUUAAAUAAUAAGUCUAAAGCCAUGUAGAAAGUUGUCGAAGAAAUAUCACACUUUUCACGAAUCAGCUUGAUGCUCCUUAAUUGAACAUUUGAAUAAUGAGUUUAUAAUAUUAAAAAUAGCAAAUUAUAAUAUCAGACAACGUGGCAUAUACGGGUUCAUAUGUUAAUUAUUUGGAGUAAAGAUUCUUUUCGGAUCUAAAAACACUAAAUAUUAAAAAUAGCAAAUUAUAAUAUCAGACAACGUGGCAUAUGCAGGUUCAUAUGUUAAUUAUUUGGAGUACAGAUUCUUUUCGGAUCUAAAAAAACUAAGCCUAAGGAUCAAAUGAUCUUGAUCGUUGAAAUUUGAUAUAACGGCUAUAAUUAUUAUAACUUUUAGAAGGAUCCCUUAUUUGUAGCAGUUGAAUCAAAUUUCAACGGUUUGAAUUAUUUAAUACCUAGACUCAAUUUUUUUAAAGGAAAACUAAUGAAAAGUGCUUGAAAACUUUGAGUUUUAUAGAUAUGGAUAAAAUAAAGGGCAAAGUCAAUAGUAGCAGGUUUGACUUCUAAGUGUAAAAAUGUGAUUUUUCGUUAAAGUGAACAAUACCAUAGGCUUUUCGUUAAAAUUUUUUUUUUUUUUAAAUCUAGAGAGAAUUUGUACUCAAUUAUUUGAGGGUUCUUUCAGGGUUAUCCAACAAACGUGAAAAUUGAAACAAAAGUGUUAUAUUAAGUUGCAGUGUAUCAAGCUAAUGACGGUGUGUGUGAGUGUGACCCACAAGACUCGUGUGGCACCAAGACUAUGGAGAAAAGGAAUGUUUUUGGGGCAAAACGAUAAUGGUUUGAUUAGCUUUUUUUUUUUAAAAAUUACAAACUUCAAAUAGAGUAUCCUAGAUCAAAUUCGAGUGAUCCUUAAGCAAACAGUUCCAAAACAAAAAAUAAGGCCAACUUUACCAAUCUAAUAACUAUCAUAUUGGUGGAUCUUCGAAUGUAACUAGCAUGAUAACACAUUUAGCACUCCAAAGCCAAAAGUACUUUAAUCUCGGCAACUAAAAAUUCAAUCACUUUAAAUCCGCCUCAUGAGAAACUCUACACACAAAAUUGCCAGCAAAACCAGUAAAGAGCACUGUUUACAUAUACAGGCAACGCCAACUUCAAAGAGGAACUACAAAAGAAACAAAUAGUGACUGUUACAAUAAGAACUCUGUACACAAAACUACCAACGAAGCUAUCAGUUGCAUCACGGUAAACCCUAUCAAUGCCACCAUGAGACACAAAAAGACACAAGCUCAAAAAGGCAAAUUUAACAUGGACGAAAGCCGCACUAUACCUAGACAACCCACACCAUAAAAUUUCAGCUCCAUCUCUUGCCACACCCCCACACUAUCCAAACAACUAGAGAGGGAAGAUUUUGGGAGAAAAAAUGGAUUGAAAAAGGACAAAAAAAAUAAGUGACAGAGAACUCAAAUCUAAGCAAGUUUAGACACAAACUCUGAAAUCCCGUUUCCGAAAUUUCAAUAUUUUGUACGUAUCUUGUAGUUUAAAUUUGUAUUUCGUGAUUACGAUAUCUUUAUUAGUAAAUUUUAGGAAUAUUAAUUGAUUGGUUAUCGAGUAUGAAGUUUUAUAAUCAAUCUUUAGCAUUCGUCGACCUUUUGAAGUUACAACUAGUGUUUUCAAAUAGAUCUCGAAAUCACGAACACAUAGGUGAAAACCAUUUGCGAGUCCGAAUUAUAACGGUAUGGUUAGGAACGUUCGAAGUUGUGAUACUAUAGAUUUUAGGAAUUAUUUGUAUCCCACUUUGUGGGUAAGAGGCCCAGACCGAUAUUUGGGUUAAAGGACCAAUUAGUUAGAAGAGGGAAGAGACCAAUCAGAUUUUAGAAAAGGUAGGCAGCAGCCAAUCAACAAGGGAAGAAAAGAAAAUAGGGAUUUUUCCCCUUCCAUUUCUGUUGACCGUACACCCACGACAACACCUUCGACCUGGUUCUAAUUCUGGCCAUUUCCACCAUAUUUUCAGGUGAUCUUCAACCAUCCCACACCUGCCACCUCUUCCAUUACCUCCCAUCUACCAUCUCCACCCAAUUUCGAAGGAAUUUUAAGCCCAAAAACCAUAUAAACCGUGCGGGUGCCGGGAGGUUUUUCACUGCGAUUCCGCUGUUCCAGCGAGUUUCACCACUCACCACCACCCUUAAUCAACUUCCCUUGGACCUAGGAACAAGACCCAAUCAAUUGUAGGGGCAUUGGAACACCGAGGAAGUCGCAUCGAAGAACACCCACCUUAGGGUUUUCGAGGGGUGCGAGCCAAUUUGGAGCCUUCCCGGCCAAAUUGGACUUAGCCACAGGCAGUGAUAGAGUGUGACACCUUGACUCUCAUGUUAGGGUGUAUUAACACGGACUCCAGGUGAGUGACUUUAAUAUAUGUGAUAUUGUUAUUACCCUGAAAACUCCCAUGCUAGUAUACUUUGUGUAUACAACAUGAAUUUCUAAAGUAUGUUUUAUGCUAAAUAAUUGUUUUUAUAAAGUUUACCAUCGAUCAAUUUUAUGAAUUGUUAUGUGACUUGCUUAUUGAAAUGUUUGUUAAAUUGAGGGCUAGUAGGAGACCAUGACCCUACUUGGUUAAUCCGCGAUAGGGGGUUACUAAUGGUCCCGCUUGGUUAAUCCGCGAUAGGGGACCAUAUUUUCUAAGGAUCGUGCUUGGUUAAUUCGCGAUAGGCGAUCCUUGUAUCUUUAGUAUGGCCAUACACACACUUAGGGAUGAUCAUGCUUGGUUAAUUUGAGAUAGGUGAUUAUUGACUAACAAAUGCGUUUGAGUGACUCUGCUUGGUUAAUCCGCGAUAGAAGGUCACUGCCUACUUGGUUACUACAUGGGUGGUUCUGCUUGGUUAAUCCACAAUAGGGGGCCACUUCUUGUUUGUUUACUUAUGUAGGCUUCGGCCGAACUGUGUCACUCUAACUCUAGUUUUUAGUGUUUUCAUAAACUAUAGUUUCGAGAACCUUGAGUUUUGACUUAGAAAAGCCGUUGGAUGUCUGGGUGACUCCUUCAAAGAUAUCAAAGGUUUGGUACUGAUUUCUUAUGAAUGUUUUAUAUUCGAGGUUUAUAAACUGUGAUUGAUGGUUGGUUUUAUUAUUAUUAUCACAUGCAUUGUAUUAUUGUCACUCACACGAGUUUCGCAGCUUAUCCGGGUUGUUGUUUGCUCGGUGCACGAUUCCAAUGGUGUAGGCAUUGAUCUUACAGGUGACAGGUCUGAGUAGCUUCUGAGAUGUAUGUGGAUGGGGUAGUAGUGCAGUUAUCAGAGACUUGGAGUGUUAGGUUACCUCUAUAUCCUCUCUUGUACUUUAUCUUUUGGGACUUUCUUUUGAGCACCUCGAACUUGUUCUUAGUCUAGCGAGGGUUGUACUUCUUUUUGGGAUGUACAUAUUUGUAAAUAUCUUGUGGAGAACUUAGUCACCUCCAUAUUAUUUUGGUUUAUUAGUUAAAGUAUUUCCUUCCGUAAUUUAUGCCGUAUUUGACGAACGUUAUUUCCCUUUGUCACGUGUCGACUCUCGAUGUAUGUUGGGAUCCGGGCGUCACACAAACUUAAUCACCACAAAAGGGACUAAAAUGAUUAGUAUGUCAUCAAUGUGUGAUAAAAAAUUACUUGGUAGCUUCGCCACAACAGUCUACCUUUUGAGGAUCGAUAAGACUCAUAGAGGCAUUUCAACCUCUCAUUGACCAUUAUCGUGUGAUACACAUGCGUUAAGAAUCUAACCCAAAACCAACUGUGUAUGAUAUAUGAGUAUGAAAUUCGUUUUCAAUCAGUAGGUCAUCCCUUAGCGUGGGGGCAAUGAUAUUUUUUUCAGUAGGUCAUCCCAUACUGAAAUUGUCCCCAAUGUGUAAAUAUCACGAGCGCUAGACCAAUUCCAGCGUAUAGUUGUUUAUUUGUAAGGUUAUUUUCGUGGGGGCAAUGAUAUUAAAAUUAUGCACGCAUCACACAGAAGACAAUCCCAUCUUACUUGCAUGUUGCAACGAACAGAUAAGUAAAGGGUCCAAACCGGCAUGUCAUAAAAUAAUAAAUCUUCAAAAUAAUCAAAAUUCGUUAAACGUCUAACAAAACGGGGGAUUGAGGAGUUUUAAUAUUUUGUCUUUUUUAAGAGAUAUGAAAAGGAAAGGGUAUUUUUAAGGGAAGAGGAUCCUCUCCUGAGUUCAGGAUGGAAAUCCUCCUGAUCUGAUAAGAUCAUCUGGACCGUUCAAAUUUAAUCAAACGUUUGUAAUUAUUAUAACUUUUAGAGAACCCUCCUAUUUAGAACCAUUGAAUUAAAUUUGAAUGGUCUGGAUGACCUGAUCAAGAGGAUCCCCAUCCUGAGCUCAGGAGGAUCCUCUUCCAUUUUUAAAUUUACACGUAUUAAUUAUGAUUCAAAAAUAAAAUUAAAUAUAUGAGGGUCGGUUUGGUUAACCGCACCCUAAAAAUUUUGAGAAUCAAUUGCCAAACCGAUUAAGAUCGGUACGGUUUGGUUUAGCCAUCGAAAAUAAAAAAUAAAAAAAAACCAAACCAAGCUUCAGGUGGGAUUCAAGCAGUUUAGUCGGUUUUUUUUUUAAAUGCCCAGCCGUAUGUUCUACGUAGAACCCAACGUAAUUUUUUAUCUAAAUAAUUAAGAUCCCCGUAAGCAAAUUCAUCAAUUAUACUUUGCUUUACAGAUUUUACAUUUUUCGAAUUCUUAAAAUAUUCCUAUUGCAUGUUUGAUGUACACAAUUAAUUCUAUAUGGGUUCUUAGGUUUGAUGCUCGCUAAAGGUAAAUUUGAACCCCAUUAUUACUAACUCAUUGUGAGACUUAGUCCACUCUCCACCAUUUUAAUGUAGAUAAUAUCAUUUGUUAAAAAAAAAAAAACAAUAUAUCUUUUACCUUUUAGUUAGUCAUAAUUUUUUCAUUUCUCCCCUCAACUCGGAGAUAAAGAGUUAUGUAUUUCAAUACAACCAUACGUAAUAAUCAAGCCCUUACUUCUAUAUAUACGUGUGUGUAUGACAAGGUGAUAAAUCAACUUAAGCCUUUUCCCAGUUCAGCAAAAAUCAUUUUGCCUCAAGCUUCUAAUGACAGUUGCAAAAAUGGAUUCUCUGCCUUAUGCAAACUCUAUCACUGCUGGCCUGUUCACAGUAAUCAUCGUGUUCUAUUACUUAUCUCGAAGAUGGAGAGCUUCCAAUCACGAGGGCAAAUUAUCACCACCAGAAGCCAAGGGUGGAUGGCCUAUAUUUGGUCACCUUCAUUUGUUCGGAGGCCCCACACCUCCUCACAUAACUUUGGGAGCCAUGGCGGACAAGUACGGACCCAUUUUCACUAUCCGCCUUGGCGUCCAACCGUCGUUGGUGAUAAGCAGCAGUGAGAUCGCAAAAGAAUGCUACACAACCAAUGACUUGAGCAUACUCGGUCGCCCAAAGAUGGUGGUUGCAGAUCACGUUACCUACAACUAUGCCAUGUUUGCGUUCGGACCACCUGGACCCUAUUGGCGACAAAUUCGCAAGAUCGUUACCUUGGAGUUGCUCUCAGUCCGGAAGGUUGAGCUGCUCAAGCACAUUCGAGUGUCGGAAGUGGCUACUUUCUUAAAAGAAUUGCACGACCAUUGGAGUACAAAGAAAAAGGAGGGCUCGAAAGAUGGAGUGGUUGUAGAGCUAAAGCAAUGGUUUGGGGACAUGAUGCUGAACGUUAUUCUUACAAUGGUGGCUGGAAAGCGGUUUUCGGUGGCUGCCACUGGGGAUGAGAAGAAAGAAGCGCGUAGGGUUCAGACUGCAUUGAGGGAGUUCUUUGAUUAUCUGGGCAUGUUUUUGGUGGGUGAUGCGGUUCCUUAUCUGCGGUGGUUGGAUUGGGGUGGACAUGAGAAGGCAAUGAAGAAAAGUGCAACGGAAAUGCACGCCAUUAUUGCAGAGUGGCUUGAAGAGCAUAAGCAGAGGAGAGCAAAAGGUGUUGCAAAAGGAGAAAAGGACUUCAUAGAUUCGUUGCUUUCUGUGCUUGAUGGUGCGGACCUUGGCAGUUUCGAUGCUGAUACGAUCACCAAAGCCACAAGCGUGGUACGUAUAUAUAAUUCAUUAAUUUUUGCAGGCAAAUAUUUAACCAUAAAAGGCUGGAGUUAGACACUAUUCACAUAAAGAUUUUAUUUUUACUUUUCAAUACUUAUAAGCUAAUUGCAUGGUCUAUAAAAAGAAAAUGAAAACAUUAGACGAUAAUAUUUUUUUUUUUAAAACAAAUUAUGUCCAAUUUUAUAUAUGACUCAUGUGACAUAUUUGUCGGCUCACCAAUGGGUAAUGGUAAAGAGAUUAUCUUCUUAGACUGUAUCUGUAGAUCACAUGAUGUGACGGUUAUUAGAUUCUUUCUUUAAAUCCUUAAUAAUGAAAUCCAACCAUCAAUUGUCAUAUUCUUUGAUUUACAAGAUGUGAUUUAAAAAUAUAAUCACUUUAACAUUUUUGUCGCGUAAAGAAUGUAUAAAUGUUAAUCAAGCAAAUAUUCCUUGGGCAGAAUAUUAUUGCAGGAGGUGGCGACACCACCAUGGUGCCAUUGACGUGGGCAAUAUCAUUAUUGGUGAACAACCCUCAAGUUUUGAAAAAAGCUGUAAAUGAACUGGACACCAAAAUAGGGAAACAAAGAGUUGUGAGUGAGGAAGAUAUAAGCAACUUGGUCUACAUCCAAGCUAUUGUAAAGGAGACGUUACGUUUGUACCCAGUAGGACCAUUAUCAGGGCCGCGUUUAUUCACCGAAGAUUGCACCAUUGCUGGCUACCAUAUCCCAAAGGGCACCCGGUUGAUCCCGAACUUCUGGAAGAUCCAAACUGACCCGAAAAAUUGGCCUGAGCCAUUCGAGUUCAAGCCAGAGAGAUUUCUUACCACACACAAGGAUGUUGAUCUGAAGGGUCGGCAUUUUCAGUUUCUUCCUUUUUCAAGUGGUAGAAGAUCAUGUCCUGGUUUGGCAUUUGGUCUUCAACUGGUGCAAUUUACAUUGGCUAGUUUUCUGCAUGCGUUUGAAAUCUCAAAUCCGUCGAGUGCACCAAUUGAUAUGACAGAGAGUUUUGGAAUAACCAACGUUAAGGCAACUCCACUUAAUGUUCUCAUCAAACCUCGCUUAUCUUUUGAACUUUAUGGAUAAAAGAAGAAAAUACAGAAUAUUAUGUGUACGAUAUGAAUAAGAGAUUUUCGUUGUUAUUAGUUAUGUAUAAUUAUGUGUCCAUCUUUGUAAUCGUAAAAUCAAUAAAUCAAGGCUUUUUAUGUUAGCACCCCACAAAAUGUUGAAUACACUCCACAUUAAAAUUUAAUAUUAAUGACUUAUUUACUCUGCUAUGUAAUAACAAUUUUGACCUUAUUAGGUUUAAAAAAUAAUAAAAAAUUUAUAAAUACACCCCAAAUUACUUUUAACGUAUUAUUUAUCUAUUUCAACUAUCAAAACCCCUCUCAUUCUCCAUUGUUGAAUAAAACCCUAAACAAUGAAACUACAAACAUGUUGAUUGAGAAAAAUAAUUUUUGACGAAUGGAACACAAAAUCGAUGUUUCGAAAGCUUUGAAAUCAUUAUUAUUGUUAUUGAAAAACAUUCAAAUGAACCUAAACAUUUUUUGAAAUCAUUCAGCAAACUAAUGUUUAGAUAGUUUGAAAUCAUUUGGCAAAAUAAAAAAUGAGUGUUAUAAGAUUUGAGAAAUGUGGGGUGUGUGUAGAAAAUAUAAGGUGUAUAUUAAGAAUGUGGGGUGUGAGAGUAUUAUGGGAAAGAAAGUGGAGUGUAUUAACAUAAUUUUUAAUUGAAAAAGUAAAUAUGGGAUAUAUUAAGUAUGUGAGGUUUAUUCAACAAUUUGUGGGGUGCUAAUAUAAUAAGCCUAUAUCAACUGCCAAUGUAAGAUACAAAACCUAGCAAUAAUGGGUGUUUGAGAAUGGGUAUAUUUAGCAAUAAAAAAGUACCCCCAAAAAAGCCUCUAUUUACAUUUUCCAUUGGGCUAUCUUUUGGGUCUGUUGCCUCCGGAUUUUUUUAUUUUCAAUUUGCUUGUAAAGAACCCACCCAUUUGCCAGCACAAACAGGACAAAUUAAAAUAGUCUGUGGAAAUAAAGAUGAGAAUUAAGUGGGAGUAAUGGGCAUAAAGGUUACCUCAAGAUUUACAAUUGUUUUACCAUUUCCUCUAACUUAUUGUCAUCGCUAAAUGGCUGUUAGUAGGGUGAGUUAUAGAGAAGAAACUGGGGCAGCAAGCAAGAACAAAAAGGCUGCAGGUUGCAGCGGCAAAGAUAAGGGAAAAAAAACUGAAAAAAAAAUGGAAAGGUGCAGCUGACGAAAAUGGGAAGGAAGAAAGCAAGGCAGCAAAAAGUUGGACGAGGAAGAGGGAAGCAAUAGAGGAAGGAGGAAAUCUUGGCAUUCUUUUCUUUCGGUUUUAUCUUCUCAAACUCAUGUCUUUCUUUUGGUUUUAUUUGAGAAUUAUGUGUAACUAAUUUUUAGUAGUUAUGGGCUAUUUUGAAGCCCCAAAUAUGAUUGCAAGUUUGUUAUGACAUUUUGUUGAAUUACUUUUAUAAAUUGAAGAAAAUUGGUUUACUACUUGUCUCAUUGAUGAAUUAUUUAUGUGUUUUCUACGGAUGCAUACUUAGUAAGCAUAUCUAGGAUUCUAAUGCUAUGAAUAUGUGUGUACCUGCCAUUGUCGAAUGAGGACCUACAUAUGUUCUAGAAUAGUACUUGUUAAUUGCGUUUAACAUGUGAACCAAUUUCUAGGAUAAGUAAGACAACGCUAAUACUUACGAUACCUUGUGAUGACUUAAACUCUUUUCGUUCUUAAUGAUUUCUACUUGUUAAAUAUAUGAACAUGCCAUUCUAGAUUGCAUGCUAGAGACUAAGUUAAGUUGAAAACGUCAUUCACUUAACAUACUACAUAAGAAAGAGUAAUAACAUACUACAUAAGAAAGAGUAAUAGGUUGAGUUCUAACAUUGAGCCAACUUGAGCAUCUUCAUCCGGAAAUAAAAUGAAUUUGAAUGAAACAUAACAUGUUUGCAUGAUUAUUUUGUGGUGGAUAGCAAUUCCCCUAACUCGUUUUUCUUAAUUUGUGAACUACUUAAAAUUUGUUUAUGUCCUGUUUUUGUUCGAUUUAAUUUUAAAAGAAAAUCAACUCCAAAAAUUUGUGUGAGUGUAGCUCUGUGUGUCUAGUGUCUUCAUAUAAAAUUUCGUAGACUUUAGAUAAGUGUAAGUUGGUCUAAUAAUUAUUUUCCGGUGGCUGGUCAGUAGGGACAGCAGCCCAGUUUUUGUGACAUUUUAAGUAGUUAGAUAAAACAAUCUUCUGCAGGAAAUACUCUUAUUUUCAUAUACUACAAUUGACAAUUCUUAGUUUUAAUAAGGAAAAUCAAUAAGAUAUUUAUGUGCUAUUUUGUGAUGUGCUUUUAAUCCUAUCAGGUACCAUAACAGGAGGGCAGACAAUCUGCCUCCCAAUUCUAGUGUAGAGUUAUUUUUGUAAGAUUAUUUUCAUGGGGGCGAUGAUAUUAAAAUCAUGCACAGAUCACACAGAAGGCAAUCCUAUCUUUACUUGCAAGUUGCAUCGAACAGAUAAGUAAAGGGUCCAAACCAGCCAUGUCAUAAAUAAUCAAGUUCUUCAGAAUAAUCAAGAGUUGUCGAGAAAAAUGUGGGACUGCGCGAUUUAACUAUGCAAUGUGAUAUUCACAUACUUUAUUUUAUUUCUUACACAUUUUUCUAAUUUUUUACUGUCGGAUCGGAUUAAUUGAAGAAGAUCAACAGAUAAAAAUUAACAAAAAAUAUGUGAAAAGUAAUUUGAAAUGUGUGAAUAACAUAUCUCUUAACUAUUUUAUCGUUCUUUACUAAAUUGUAUAUAGACAAGAAAAUAUUAUGGGAUAUAAAUAAUAAGUCUAAAGCCGUGUAGAAAGUAGUCGAAGAAAUAUCACACUUUUCACGAAUCAGCCUGAUGCUCCUUAAUUCAACAUUUGACUAAUGAGUUUAUAAUAUUAAAAAUAGCAAAUUAUAAUAUCAGACAAUGUGGCAUAUGCGGGUUCAUAUGUUAAUUAGUUGAAGUAUAGAUCCUCUUUGGAUCUAAAAAAACAGAGUCUAAGAAUUAAAUGAUCCGGAUCGUUGAAAUUUGAUCUAACUGCUACAAUUAUUAUAACUUUUAGAAUGAUCCUUUGUUUGUAGCCGUUGAAUCAAAUUUCAAAGGCCUGUAUCAUUUAAUUCAACGACCUGAAUCAUUUAAUCCUUAUACUCAGUUUUUUUAAAUCCAGAAAGAAUUUGCACUCAAUUAUUUGAGGGUUCUUUCAGGGAGAUCCAACAACAUGAAAAUUGAAACAAAGGUGUUAGAUUAAGUUGCAGUGUAUCAAGCUAAUGACAGUGUGUGUGAGCGUGACCCACAAGACUCAUUAUUUUAUGAAUUCUGAUCCUCUGCAUGUUUUUUCCCUACCACACUAUUUCGUUGAGGAGAAGUGAUAAGGGGCUCCCUCAUUCGAACCACCAACUCUGUUUUGGUAUACAUUUUCCACGGGAUCAAACGUACGUUAUUGCCUCAAUGCCUCAUGUGGUACCAAGACUAUGGAGAAAAGGAAUUUUUUGAGGCAAAACGAUAAUGGUUUGAUUGGCAUUUUUUUUUUAAAAGUACAAACUUCAAAUAGAGUAUCCUAGAUCAAAUUCGAGAGUGAUCCUUAAAUAAACAGUUCCAAAAAAAAAAUAAGGCCAGCUUGACCAAUCUAAUAGCUACCAUAUCGGCGGAUCUUCGAGUGUGAUAACACAUCUAGCACUCCAAAGUCAAAAAUAAUUUAAUCUCGACAACUAAAAAUUCAAUCACAUCAAAUCUACCUCAUGAGAAACUCUACACACAAAAUUGCUAGCAAAACCAGUAAAGAGCACUGUUUUCAUAUACAAGCAACACCAACUUCAAAGAGGAGCAAAAGAAACAAAUAGUGACCGUUAUAAUAAGAACUCUACACGCAAAACUACCAACGAAGCUAUUAGUUGUACCACGGUAAACCCCAUCAACGCCAUCAUGAGACAUAAAAGAAAGACACAAGCUCAAAAAGGCAAAUUUAACAUGGACGAAAGCCGCACUAUACCUAGACAACCCACACCAUAAAAAUUCAGCCUCAUCUCUUGCCACACCCCCACACUAUCCAAACAACCAUAGAGGGAAGAUUUUGUGAGAAAAAAUGGAUUGAAAAAGGACAAAAAAAUAAGUCACAGAGAACUCAAAUCUAAGCAAGUUUAGAUACAAACUUAAUCACCACAAAAGGGACUAAAAUUAUUAGUAUGUCAUCAAUGUGUGAUAAAAAAUUACUUGGUAGCUUCGCUACAACAGUCUACUUUUUAGGGAUAAAAAAGACUCACAGAUGCAUUUCAACCUCUCAUUUACUAUUAUCGUGUGAUACACAUGCGUUAAGAAUCUAACUCAAAACAUACCGUGUAAGAUAUAUGAGUAUAAAAUUUGUUUUCAAUCAGUAGGUCAUCCCUUAGCGUGGGGGCAAUGAUAUUUUUUCAGUAGGUCAUCCCUUACUGGAAUUGUCCCCAAUGUAUAAAAAUCACGAGCGCUAGACCAAUUCCAAUGUAUAGAUUUUUUUUGUAAGGUUAUUUUCGUGGGGGCAUACGUCACACAGAAGACAAUCCCAUCUUACUUGCAUGUUGCAACGAACAGAUAAGUAAAGGGUCCAAACCGGCAUGUCAUAAAAUAAUAAAUCUUCAAAAUAAUGAAAAUUCGUUAAACGUCUAGAAAAACGGGGGAUUGAGCAGUUUUACUAUUUUGUCAUCCUCAAUUAAAUUGUCCUUUUUAAGAGUUAUGAAAAGGAAAGGGUAUUUUUAAGGGAAGAGGAUCCUCUCCUGAGCUCAGGAUGGGGAUCCUCCUGAUCAGGUUAUUCGGACUGUUUAAAUUUAAUCCAACGAUUCUAAACAGGAGGGUCUUCUAAAAGUUAUAAUAAUUGCGAUCGUUGAAUUAAAUUUGAACGGUCUGGUUGGCCUGGUUAGAAGAAUCCUCAUCCUGAGCUCAGGAGAGGAUACCGAUUGCCAAACUGAUUAAGGUCGAUGCAGUUUGGUUUAGCCACCGUAAAUUAAAAAAAAAAAAAAAAAAAAAACCAAACCAGGCUUUAGGUGGGAUUCAAGCGGUUUAGUCGGUUUUUUUUUUUUUUUUAAAUGCCCAGCCCUAUGUUCUACAUAGAACCCAACAUAAUUUUUUUCUCUUAAUAAUUAAGAUCCAUAUAAGCAAAUUCAUCAAUUAUACUUUACUUUACAGAUUUUACAUUUUUCGAAUUCUUAAAAUAUUCAUAUUGCAUGUUUGAUUUACACAAUUAAUUAUACGUGGGUUCUUAGGUUUGAUUCUUACUAAAGGUAAAUUUAAACCUCAUUAUUACUAACUCAUUGUGAGACUUAGCUCACUCUCCAUCCCUUUAAUAUAGAUAAUAUCAUUUGUUAAAAAAAAAUAACAAUCUAUCUUUUACCUUUUAGUUAGUCAUAAUUUUUUCAUUUCUCCUCUCAACUGGAGAUCAAGAGUUAUGUAUUUCAAUACAACCAUACGUAAUAAUCGGACCCUUACUCCUAUAUAUACGUGUGUGUAUGACAAGGCGAUAAAUCAACUUAAGCCUUUACCCAGUUCGGUAAAAAGCAUUUUGCGUCUAGCUUUCUCAUGAUAGUUGCAAAAAUGGAUUCUCUCCCUUAUGCAAACUCUAUCACUGCUGGCCUGUUCACAGUAAUCAUCGUGUUCUAUUACUUAUCUCGAAGAUGGAGAGCUGCCAAUCACAAGGGCAAAUUAUCACCACCAGAAGUCAAGGGUGGAUGGCCUAUAUUUGGUCACCUUCAUUUGUUAGGAGGCUCCACACCUCCUCACAUAACUUUGGGAGCCAUGGCGGACAAGUACGGACCCAUUUUCACUAUCCGCCUUGGCGUCCAACCGUCGUUGGUGAUAAGCAGCAGUGAGAUCGCAAAAGAAUGCUACACAACCAAUGACUUGAGCAUACUCUCUCGCCCAAAGAUGGUGGUUGUAGAUCACGUUAGCUACAACUAUGC